GAUCCAUCCUGUCCCAAGACUGGGGAAGAUCUACCGGCGAACGGGUGAGUAACACGUGAGAAACCUGCCCUGAAGUCUGGGAUAACCCGAGGAAACUCGAGCUAAUACCGGAUGCCUUCAUCUGAUCGCAUGGUCGGAUGAAGAAAGAUUCAUCGCUUCAGGAGGGUCUCGCGGCCUAUCAGCUAGUUGGUGGGGUAACGGCCCACCAAGGCGUCGACGGGUAGCUGGUCUGAGAGGACGAUCAGCCACACUGGGACUGAGACACGGCCCAGACUCCUACGGGAGGCAGCAGUGGGGAAUAUUGCGCAAUGGGCGAAAGCCUGACUCAGCAUCGCCGCGUGCGGGAUGAAGGCCUUCGGGUUGUAAACCGCUUUCAGUGGGGACGAAAUUGACGGUACCCACAGAAGAAGCCCCGGCCAAGUACUUGCCAGCAGCCGCGGUAACAAGUAGGGGGCGAGCGUUGUCCGGAUUUAUUGGGCGUAAAGAGCUCGUAGUCGGCUCGGUAAGUCGGGUGUGAAAACUCUAGGCUCAACCUAGAGACGCCACCCGAUACUGUUGUGGCUAGAGUCCGGUAGGGGAGCAUGGAAUUCCUGGUGCAGCGGUGAAAUGCGCAGAUAUCAGGAGGAACACCAGUGGUGACGGCGGUGCUCUGGUCCGGUACAGAUGCUGAGGAGCGAAAGCGUGGGGAGCAAACAGGAUUAGAUACCGUCGUAGUCCACGCCGUAAACUUUGGGAAUUAGGUGUGGGUCAUCAUCAACGGGUUCCGUGCCGAAGCUAACGCAUUAAGUUCCCCGCCUGGGGAG
rnacentral:rRNA from 1 species